AGGGGCUGGUAUGGGUUGCUGUUCCUCCUCCUUCGUUGCUGUUGGCUGAUUCUCUGCCUCUGCCCCCUUCCUUUCUCCUUCAAAUGAGAAUUUCAUGGAAUAGUCACACUUCACCAUACUGAUCAGGCUCUUUUAGACUAUAGCUGUCCGCAAGUAAGGAUGACUCCUGCAUGUUCAGGUAUGUUUCCUUGGGCGUAUUUAUACAUAAUUCAGUCUGUGCCAGAACUAGGGGAGCCUGCUUCAUCAUCUGUCUGUGACAAUACCCCACUCAGCGCCUCUGAACCUCUUCCCAACCCCAUUGCAUCUAUGCCAUUUUAUUCCUUCACCAUUUAUCUGUGAGGUUUCUGUCUCUUACUGAGUUUGCUCUAGGAGUUUUGCCUCAUAGUGCAGCUGAGACCUGCAAGGGGCUAGCAGGAUUGUAACCAAAAACUUUUCUCUUACCGUCAGGAUGAUGCAUAGCUUAAGAUUAAGGAAAAUCUGUCUUCAUUUGUUGUUGGGACUAGCUACAGCCUCCUGAGUUAGUUCGUUUAAGUCUGUUCCUUAAUUCCUCUCUGCACUAGAGAACACAGGCCUCAUUCUUCUAAAAGAAGCCACGAAGCAAAGGAGGCAGACCUAGCGCAAAAAAAAAAAAAAAAAAAAAAAAAAAGCAGCCCCCUAAGUGCAGGGCCCUUUGGACUUUAUCCCUCCCCUCAAAGUAAUUAGCAUAUUCAAGGCAUUUCAGCCCCACCCCUUACCCAAGACCAAGGGUGGGGAAAUGAAGCUCUCUGCUAAAAGUAUCCUGCUUGGAGGAAAUUUGAGUCCUUAAAGUGCUGCCCAAAAACUGCAAGGGAAGGUUUGAGGGCAGCCAUGAGGUUUUCCUUGUUAGUCACCACGCAGGCCAGUAGGUGGCAUCAGUGUACAAAACCAGCUUCCAGUACAGGAGCCACAUCUGAACUUUUGUGUCCCCAUCUUAGCAGGUAGAGAUGGGGAACCAGAGACAGAGGGAUUCCCUCCCUGCUGUAUAGCAGGUACCAUAAGCAAGAUCAUAUUCCUUAAUUCACUGUUGAAUGUUUGUAUAGUCCUGACACAAGGACUGCCUGGAGACCCUCCUGAGGCAUGGUGCUUGGCAGCUGCCCCAACACUUCCAGGCUAAAGCAAUGUCUUCACUGCCAAAAAUGGUGUUUUUACUGCAGCGAAACUAAUAUGCAUUAGCUAGCCUGCUGUAAAACCUUAGUGGAGGCAAAGCACUGGAGUUUUCCGAUGAGGUCAACCACUGAUAGAGGUAUAAUGUUGACAUCACAUGGUUAUCCUGUGGUGCUUUGUAGGAUUUUAAUGAAGGCUAGCUAACGUGUAUGAUCACACUGUUAAACAAAGGAAAACAUCUUUUUUGCAGUGGACAUAUCAUACACACAGAUUUGUGCUGCAAACGGAGGAGGAGAGCUCCCAGUGGGUGAGUGACAUUACUAUUAAUUAGCAGUGGCCACAGGUGACCUGCAGCUCUCGUCUGCAAUCCUAAGCUCUCCUGCAGCAGCUCAGUUCAUUUCAGGAAAAAGUGGCAUAAGCUUCAGUGCAGCAAUGUGGAGGCUCUUCUGGCUGUAGAGGCUCCCCUUGGAAGUGGCUUAGGAAAUCUGCUCCAUGAGAACAGAAACACAAUGGGAGCAAGCUUACCACCACCCCCCCCCCACCUCAGACUGUAGUAUUCAUGUGUUGCGUAGCCUCCCUUAUUCCGUUAUCCACUCUGCUGGGUGGAGAUUCUGUGCCCCCCUCCUAUUUUAAUUGGAACACCAAAAGCCUCUGAUCCCCUUUUAAAAAUCCAGCACAGAUCCGGUCUCAUCUCAGAUUUGGCACAGCAGCCUCAACUGUUUCACUAUCAUUGUGUUUAAACCCCCCUCCAAAAUACCACAGCCCUCCCUCAGCUAAGAGCAAUGAGCCUAUAAACAUGAAAAGGAAUUUAAAGAAGAGUUUGACAACUUACCUUACUAGCAGAGAGUUGACAGAUUUUCUCAGUAUAUGUGGUGAAACUAAGGAUCUUAAUGCAUCCUGGACAGUUUAAGAAUAUACUCUUUACUUUAAUGCAUUGUUUGGUAACUAUGACUGAUCACUUGAGAAAUUAAACUUGACAUUUCACUUCCUUACAAGAGACUUGAAAUGGGGUAUUGGUCAAAGCUAUAAUGGCGAGAGACCAUAAUCAACAGAGCUGUAAGAGUACUUCCUAGUCCCCAUUGGCACUACAGGAGGUUGGAGGGUACCAAAUGCAAGAGGAACAGCUUUUAACAAUCACACAGGAAGUUUGAAAAGUAAGGAUCCUUUUGGCCAUAUCCCUAUCAGGGACUGUAUUGCUCUGAGAUUUAGGACUAAUAGUUGCACCAUUUUCCUGCUAAUGGAAUGCUAAAAAUCACUGGGUCUAGUAUUUUAUAGUGAUGUUGACAUUAUCCACUCUGAGACCACCACUACCUAUCUAUCAAUACUGAAGAGGAACUAAAGUCACCUUUCUCAUACUGAUUUAAAACCAUGCAGUAAAGAUAUUUGUACCUCCAUGGGUUUAGUAAUUGGGACAUUGUCAGGUCGAAUUUGGCCCCAUAUCUAGGUUUUGUAAGUAAGCUUUUACCAUACGUAAAACAAAUGUUUCCCUAUAUAUUUGAACACCAAGGGAGGGAGUUUUUAAACAAUGUUUCCCCUGCAGUGUUUGCUAUUUUAACAGUAUCAUUAGGGGUUAAAUUGUGAGAAUCAUGAUGUGAAAUUGGAUUUGUCAAGCUGCCAUUUCCAGUAUCAAAACAACAACAGGAGAAGCAAAACACUGUAAGUAGUGCCAUUGAACUUAAAACUUCAAUUUUAAGCCAAGACAUUUGUAACAGACAAGGAAACUUUAUAAAUGUAUGUAUUUUUAGCCAGAUGGGAUUAAAGUUGUCCUACAACGAA